rnacentral:rRNA from 1 species
UACGUAGGCAGCAAGCGUUGUUCGGAAUUACUGGGCGUAAAGAGUGUGUAGGUGGUGUUCCAAGUCUGUUGUGAAAUCUCCCGGCUUAACUGGGAGGGUGCGGCGGAAACUGGAAUGCUUGAGGGUGGGAGAGGUAAGCGGAAUUCCUGGUGUAGCGGUGAAAUGCGUAGAUAUCAGGAGGAACACCGGUGGCGAAGGCGUCCAUCUGGCCCGAUACUGACGCUGAGGCGCGAAAGCUAGGGGAGCGAACGGG